GAUGAAGAACGCAGCGAAAUGCGAUACUUGGUGUGAAUUGCAGAAUCCCGUGAACCAUCGAGUCUUUGAACGCAAGUUGCGCCCGAAGCCAUUAGGCCGAGGGCACGCCUGCCUGGGCGUCACACGUCGUUGCCCCCCCAUCUACUCCUUCGGGAUUGCGGGGGGCGGAUGAUGGCCUCCCGUGCGCCUCGUCGCGCGGUUGGCAUAAAUGCCAAGUCCUCGGCGACGCACGCCACGACAAUCGGUGGUUGCGAAACCUCGGUUGCCCGUCGUGUGCGGUCGUCGCGCAUCGAGGGCUCGAAAAAAUUGCCGGGCUCCGGCUCGGCUUUCAACGCGACCCCAGGUCAGGCGGGGUUACCCGCUGAAUUUAAGCAUAUCAAUAAGCGGAA
rnacentral:misc_RNA from 1 species